UACGAAGGGGGCUAGCGUUGCUCGGAAUUACUGGGCGUAAAGCGCACGUAGGCGGUCUUUUAAGUCGGGGGUGAAAUCCUGGAGCUCAACUCCAGAACUGCCUUCGAUACUGGAAGACUUGAGUCCGGGAGAGGUGGAGUGGAACUGCGAGUGUAGAGGUGAAAUUCGUAGAUAUCGCAAGAACACCAGUGGCGAAGGCGGACUCACUGGCC
rnacentral:rRNA from 1 species